rnacentral:rRNA from 1 species
GAGUUUGAGCCUGGAUCACAUUGAACGCUGGCGGCAUGCCUUACACAUGCAACUCCAACGGCAGCACGGGAGCAAUCCUGGUGGAGAGUGGCCAACGGGUGAGUAAUAUAUCGGAACGUGCCCAGUCGUGGGGGAUAACGUAGCGAAUGCUACCCUAAUACCCCAUACAAUCUAUGGAUGAAAGCGGGAGAUCGCAAGACCUCUCGCGAUUGGAACGGCCUAUAUCAGAUUAGGUACUUGGUGGGGUAAAAGCCCACCAUUCCGACGAUCUGUAGCUGGUCUGAGAGGACCACCAGCCACACUGGGACUGAAACUCAGCCCAUACUCCUACUGGAGGCAUCAGUGGGGAAUUUUGGACUAUGGGCGCAAGCCUGAUCCAGCAAUGCCGCGUGCAGGAUGAAGGUCUUCGGGUUGUAUACUGCUUUUGCACGGAACGAAACGUUGAGCUCUAUACAGUUUGCUAAUGACCGUACCGCAUUAUAAGCACCGGCUAACUACGUGCCUCAGCCCUGUAAUACGUAGGGUGCGUUCGUUAAUCUGAAUUACUGGGCGUA